CUGAAGGAACGUUGAAGACGACGACGUUGAUAGGCCGGGUGUGUAAGCGCAGCGAUGCGUUGAGCUAACCGGUACUAAUGAACCGUGAGGCUUAACCUU
rnacentral:rRNA from 12 species